rnacentral:lncRNA from 1 species
AUGUACCCGGUGGUUUUCAGCAAGGAAAUUGCUAAAUUUCCCAAAGGAAUUCCUUACUGUUGGGGAAACUUGGACAGCAAACUACAGGAAGUUCUGAGGAAGGAAGAAGGACACUGUGGAUCAUGGUGGAAGGCCCACGUGGAUGCAAAGCAGCAAGCACAGACACAGCACAUGACCCCAGGAGCUGAGAGCGGGAGACUGCAUCAGCGUUGGAGAGUGAGGUUCAAGGGCUCGGACUCCUGGCCCUCCCAGGCCGCGCUCCCAUGCUUGCACCGACGCCUGACUUCCGCCAGACUCAACUGCACCUGGCGGGCACUGGCACGACUUCCGUGCAGAGCGGGGAGUCCUGGGUGCGGCUCACCUGUACCUUCAACAACAGCGCCACGGGAGUCACCAGGCACCACUGGCUGAAACGGGGGCAAGCUGCUGAAGGAGGACAACCUGCAGGACCUGAGCACCGAGUUGAGUGAGUGCCGGCUGUGCCGAGGCGGUGGACCAGGUCUGCUCAGGGCUGUGGGCCAGUGGGCCAGCGUCUCAGCCCUGAUCCUGCUCCCAGGGGGCCCAGGACCUGGACCUCUGUCAAACACACAAGGUGCGACAAGGCCUCAGGACUCUGCUAAGGCCAGGUCCUAUCCAGAGUACCUGCUGGCCCCUCUCCUGCAUGGCAUGUUCAGUUGGUGGUCAGUGACAGGGCAGCACCCACCUUGCUGUGUGUCCUGCCUCUGUGGCUCCAGGCUCAGGUGUGUAACCUGCAUCUGCAGCCUAAGUGGAUGGGGCAGGUGUUCUCAUUGGUGGCCCGGCUGGGGGCACAGGUUGUGGUGUCAAGAACCUGGUGACCUCUGGGCCUCUGCUGUGGGCAUGGCGGGCCCUUGAGCUGGCUGUGUCCACCUCUCCUGGUACCCAGAUGCACCUCAGGGCUCUGGCAGCUGGCCUACCCGGCACAUCCCCAUGGUGGACAUAUAGAGCCCACUUCGGCUGGAGCAUACCUCUGCUGGGUGGGCCAUGGCACUGCCAAUCCCACCACUGAGAGCCUCCAGGGAGACAGCUGCCAUGUGGCCAGCACAGAGUCCCCAGGGUGUGGGGCAGUCCGGCAGGGCACGGGAUGGCACGCCAGCCCACACAUCCUCUGCACCCGGCCGGCAUCUGCAGGUGCAGGGACCUCUUGAACUUCUACCCUUGGAAACAGACCCCAGCAGGUAACACCUUGGUGGCCCAGCAGGACCACAGGUGGCGGGGGUGGGGGGGUGGGGGUAGGCUCCAACCUGCUGAGUGGCAGACUCCUCACUGCCCCUUCCUCACCCAUUCUGUGGGAGCCAGGGGAGGAGGCCAAGAUCACUGGGGUCCCUGGCUUCAGCCCCAGAGGCUGGGAAGAGGGGGAGACCCAGGGGCUGAGCCCUGUGGCCCUGGCACC